rnacentral:rRNA from 1 species
AGUGAACAAUUAAACGGCCGCGGUACCCUAACCGUGCAAAGGUAGCAUAAUCAUUUGUCUACUAAUUAUAGACCUGCAUGAAAGGCAAAAUGAGGGUCUAACUGUCUCUUAUAAUGAAUCAAUUAAACUGAUCUCCUAGUAAAAAAGCUAGGAUUUAAACAUAAGACCAGAAGACCCUGUGAAGCUUAAACUAACUUAUUAAACCCUAUAAUAACCACUUUCGGUUGGGGCGACCUUGGAAAAAAAAAGAACUUCCAAAAUUGUGACAUUCACACCACCCAGGCCCACAAGCCAAUUAAACGACCCAGCACAGCUGAUCACUGAACCAAGUUACUCCAGGGAUAACAGCGCAAUCCUCUUCAAGAGCCCAUAUCAAAAAGAGGGUUUACGACCUCGAUGUUGGAUCAGGACAUCCUAAUGGUGCAGCCGCUAUUAAGGGUUCGUUUGUUC